ACUACUAUACUAAACCUUAACAAAUCCGAUUUUUCUCAGAAUUUUGGUUUACUUUGUUGAUUAAGCCAUUGGUUGACACGUGUGGUAUGUUGCAUCCAGUUUAUUUCGUGUGCACGUCUAGGGCUGUCUUGCAUUUCUUUUUCGUUUGGUCUCUGUCUGUUUCUAUAUUUCUGCGUCCGUUCUGUGUGUGCCUACUAUUUUUUGUUCUGUUACCGUGGGUCCCGCAUGUCUCCUACCGCUGUUACGCUGGGGCUCCUCGAUUAGUGCUGCAGCAGCGCUGUGUUUCCUUUUGUGCUCCGCCAUGAUUUUCGCCUUUCUUCUCCGUUUCCGUUUCUUUCGGAUGGUCCGUCCGCCGUCGCACCCGUUCGUCUCGCCUGCCGAUGGAGGGCCUGGUCAUUCUCCUUCUGCUUCUGUUCGUUCUCAUGGAGAGGCGGUCCAUGGGGGGUUGCCCGCUGUUCCUGGCCGCCGCGGUGGUCGGCUUGCUGUUCGCGGCCGACUUGCUCCUCGGUUGCCGCGGCGCACAUGCCGACGUGCUGCACGCCGCCGCCAGUCCCCUUCGUCCUCUCCUGUAUCUGCUGCGGCAUGUGAUCUUUCCAGUGCACCGGUUACUAGGCCAGAUCUUUUUUCCUCUGGUAAUUUGUCACUGGAUUCGUCCGCCCGACUGCCUAUUACAAUAGGUAAUUUGGCUGCUGGUGGGUGUCGCGGUGGUGGGGCGGCUGUUCGUGGCAGACCCCGUGCUGUGCUUUCACCACGGGGCGGCCGUGUUCGUGCGCGCCGGCGCCCGCCGCGGCCCGAGUGUGCCGAAACUGCUGGUCGGAUUCCGAUGGCGCCUGCCGCUGUCACAGAUCAUGUGACGCUGGAUUCGUCUGCAUCCUCUUCUGAUUGGGCCGCCGUCGAGAAAUUAGAAUGGGAAAGCGUCCUCUUUUAUCAGAUGGGGAUUCUUCCGCGAGGGUGCCCAUGCCCGUGUCUUCUCCUCUGAUGUUUCGUACUCUGCCCUCAGGGCCUGCUCCAUUGCCGCCUGCUUCCUUCCCUGCUAGGCUGCCUUCAGUUCGGCCUACCUCUUCGCCUGGUGUGCUGUAGAUUCUGCCCUUCAGGCAGUACUGAUGCCGGAUGUGCCGUUUAUGUUCGGCCCCGCCUGUUCUUCCCUGACAGGCUACCUGACGCCUUCUGGUCUGUGCACAUCCUUUGUUCUCAUGUUGUUCUUUUCUACUGUGCGUACGCUAUCCGGUUUGCUUUCUUCUCUGAAUUUUGUGUUGCAGUGCUUCCUUCGCCCUUUGUCCAGGCUACAGUCUGCGUUUUCAAAUCCCCGUAAAAGAAUGAUCAUUCAUGCUUUCCAGCGGAAAAGAGCUAGAGUUCCUCUCCAUGGACCACCUUUUUCUGCGAACCCUAUUGCUUGGUUAAAGCUAGGCGCUCCUUCUAUGGUCCUCCUGCGUACAAGUGUGAGAAGUGUGGUGCCUUAUUCUGUUAUCUUGAGCGAUGUAAAAGAUCUUAUGUCAGCAAGGGACGCCUGCCAGUCUUCUCUGGUUGUUGCCUUCGUGGGAAAGUAUUGUUGCCUCGAUUUAACGACUGGCCUUCUCCCCUGAAGGAGUCUUCUUCUACUACUAUGGCAGAUGUGCCUUCUACUUCUUCUUCUACGGCUCUUCGUUCUGAAACAUAUCAUGGCAUUAUGGAUUCCAUGGAUGAAGGUGGUUCUACUGGUAAAAAAUUGGGUGUUGAGAACACACAUGCUAAAAUUCAAGAAAUCUCUAUGACAGAUGGCAAUCACAUCAACAUCAUGAUUAGAGUACAAUAUUGAUGUGCAAAAAAGGGACUGAUACAGAGGUAGUUACUAUGUUCAUUUUUACGCCUAUUUGUCUCUCUUCGAAAAUUCUGUACUGUUGAUGUGUAAGUAGAUGGUUUGUUGAAUUUUCUAGCCAGACUUGGAUUUGCCAGUAAAUUUUUAUUUGACCUUUUGAUCUUAUUUUACUGAAAUAUUGUUUAUUUGACAAGAUAAUGCACUUCCUAUUACUGUUA